AAUUUUGUUAUUUCCUUUACCUUCCUGUCCUUCUCUGUAAAGUGUAAACCCACUAAACCGAAAUUUACGAAUUACGAUGAAGAAAACAAAACCCUCAAAAACUGCGAUUUGUCCGAUUGAAGGAAGAAUUUAGCAAAACACUUGUAUGCAGAGAUGAUGCAUCAAGUGAAAUUCUUAUCUCAAUUCCUUCAAUUCGACAAAUCUCAGUUGUAUAAGUUUUCGUUUCCGAUUUUUCAAAUUGAUUCUUCUAUGAGCUCCUUCUGUUCCAAAGCAGAAAAUGUCCAACACGUUCGAAAUUUAAUCAAAGAUGAAGCGAGAAAAUGGACGCCAUAGACACAGUGUUCGAUCCGCUCAGAGAGUGAGCCAAUAAGAGCGAACGUCUCGUCAAGAGGUGCGACAAAUCCGUUCGCAAAGAAUUCGCGAAGGUGACAUUUCGUACAGAUUUAGGGUUCGUGGUGACGGGAUUCAUCGCGUUCUUCGUGAAGAUGAUGUUCAUACCUAUCAACAACAUCAUCGUUGGAUCUGGCUAGUGCAGAUGGAAUCUCUAAAAUAUGCAGUGAAACAGACGUGUGCAUCAAUCUCUCAUUGUAAAUAUGAAUUGCUUGUCAACAAGUGCACAAUUCAUGAAGUGGUAAGGGAUGCACAUCACAUGAUAUACGCGAUAUCCUGCUUUCUUUUCUUGUCUAUGCUUUCUGAUUUAGACAAUUCCUUAAAUCAUUAGGAAUCCCACGUCAUGUGAUAUGUAUGUUGAACUUCAUUAUGAGAUCAUAAACUUCAGAUUAUAAGCAGAAAUGGAUUGUGUGUGCCAAUCACCCAACUGGUUCCAUAUGCACAGUUAAUGUAAAUGACACAAUCCACGCCAUUCAGUGGGGAAAAUGCCAUUGCAAUCAGUUGCUCAAGGGACUCGGCUUUAUCCUAAUCAUGAAGGUUGGCUUUGAUGUCUACGGUAAGGAGGAUGGUUUAAUGGUAAGUUUCAUAGCAAGAGAUUACAGGAACUUGGUCUUUAGUCCAGAUAUCAUCAAUUCAUCCGGCUCAUCUUGGAUGUGAAGUGGUAGGUGGAAAAAUGGUCUUCGAUUGGGCUAUAAAUGAGAUGCCUAGAAGAACAUCAGGAAUUUUUGGAACAAGGGCGUUUAAUUGCCGUAACACGGUUAUGCCUGUUCAAAAGAAGAAAAGAACCAUUUUUAAAAUUUAGGAAUUUGAAAACAAAAAGUAAUAAAAGAACUAGAAAUUGC